rnacentral:sRNA from 1 species
UUGCUAUGGCAUCGUUCAGGUGCCAACGGGACCCUGGUUCUGCCGGAAAUGUGAAUCUCAGGAGCGAGCAGCCAGGGUGAGGUGUGAGCUGUGCCCACACAAAGACGGGGCAUUGAAGAGGACUGAUAAUGGAGGCUGGGCACAUGUGGUGUGUGCCCUCUACAUCCCCGAGGUGCAAUUUGCCAACGUGCUCACCAUGGAGCCCAUCGUGCUGCAGUACGUGCCUCAUGAUCGCUUCAACAAGGUCAGCGGCCCCCCGCCGUGUCCCCUACCAGUUCCCUCCCAUCCAUGGGUUCCUCCAGCGCUCUCUUUAUCCAGUGUCAUUUGAUUCUGUCCAACCAGCACUGAAAGGGAACUUGGGAGGUGGGUAGGUACCUACCAGUGAACCACCCUUCUGUUGACAGACACACUCAUGCUCUGGCACUCAGGUGAAAUAGUAGGCUCCCCUGCAGUAGUUCUGCCAGAGGGUAGACCUUUGCAGGUACUUCAUUCAUUCAUUCGCUGGAUACAUUUUAUUAAGUGCCUACUAUGUGCCAGACCUGGUGCAAGGUAGGUGGCACACGCUGUUUGGUGCUGAUCAAGACAGGUGUGCUGCCCGCUCAAUGGAACGCAAGUUCUUGCAUGCAAAGACUAUAAAUAUCAGUAAAAAGGCAAAGU